rnacentral:rRNA from 1 species
AGAUUGAACGCUGGCGGCAUGCCUAACACAUGCAAGUCGAACGGUAACAGGCCCGCAAGGGUGCUGACGAGUGGCGGACGGGUGAGGAAUACAUAGGAAUCUGCCCUAUUGUGGGGGAUAACGUAGGGAAACUUACGCUAAUACCGCAUAAGACCGGAAGGUGAAAGUGGGGGACCGCAAGGCCUCACGCGAUUGGAUGAGCCUAUGUCGGAUUAGCUAGUUGGUAGGGUAAAGGCCUACCAAGGCGACGAUCCGUAGCUGGUCUGAGAGGAUGAUCAGCCACACUGGGACUGAGACACGGCCCAGACUCCUACGGGAGCAGCAGUGGGAAUAGUUGGACAAGUGGGGGACAACCCGUGAUCCAGCAAUGACCGCGUGUGUGAAGAAGGCCUCGGGUUAGUAAGCUACGUUUGUACGGAACGAACGUCGCUCGGUAGAACGUACCGGUGAACGU